CGGGGCGUCGUAUAACGGCAGUACGCAAGGCUGGGGGUCUUGUAGACGGGGUUCGAUUCCCCGCGCCCCGACCA
rnacentral:tRNA from 1 species